rnacentral:rRNA from 1 species
AUUGAACGCUGGCGGCAGGCCUAACACAAGCAAGUCGAGCGAACCCAGCUUGCUAGGUGAGCGGCGAACGGGUGAGUAACACGUAGGAAUCUGCCCGAUAGUGGGGGACAACGUUUCGAAAGGGACGCUAAUACCGCAUACGCCCUACGGGGGAAAGCAGGGGAUCUUCGGACCUUGCGCUAUCGGAUGAGCCUGCGUCGGAUUAGCUAGUUGGGGGGGUAAAGGCCCACCAAGGCGACGAUCCGUAGCUGGUCUGAGAGGAUGAUCAGCCACACCGGAACUGAGACACGGUCCGGACUCCUACGGGAGGCAGCAGUGGGGAAUAUUGGACAAUGGGGGCAACCCUGAUCCAGCCAUGCCGCGUGUGUGAAGAAGGCCUUCGGGUUGUAAAGCACUUUAAGAGGGGAGGAAGGUUCGUUGGCUAAUACCCAGCGGAAUUGACGUUACCCCCAGAAUAAGCACCGGCUAACUCCGUGCCAGCAGCCGCCGUAAGAC